rnacentral:tRNA from 3 species
GGGCGUGUAGCUCAGUUGGUAGAGCACUUGACUUUUAAUCAAGUUGUCCGGAGUUCGAACCUCCGCACGCUCA